rnacentral:rRNA from 1 species
AGAGUUUGAUCCUGGCUCAGGACCUUCGCUGGCGGCGUGCCUAACACAUGCAAGUCGAGCGAAUGAAUUUUCUUCGGGAACGGAUUUAGCGGCGGACGGGUGAGUAACACGUGGGCAACCUGCCUCAUAGAGGGGAAUAGCCUUCCGAAAGGGAGAUUAAUACCGCAUAAGAUUGUAGUACCGCAUGGUACAUCAAUUAAAGGAGCAAUCCGCUAUGAGAUGGGCCCGCGGCGCAUUAGCUAGUUGGUGAGGUAACGGCUCACCAAGGCGACGAUGCGUAGCCGACCUGAGAGGGUGAUCGGUCACACUGGAACUGAGACACGGUCCAGACUCCUACGGGAGGCAGCAGUGGGGAAUCUUGCACAAUGGAGGCAACUCUGAUGCAGCGACGCCGCGUGAGCGAUGAAGGUAUUCGUAUCGUAAAGCUCUGUUGUUGGGGAAGAUAAUGACAGUACCCAUCGAGAAAGCCCCGGCUAACUAAGUGCCAGCAGCCGCGGUAAUACUUAGGGGGCAAGCGUUGUCCGGAAUUAUUGGGCGUAAAGGGUACGCAGGCGGUUUAAGAAGUGAGUUGUGAAAGCGUGAGGCUCAACCUCAUACAGCAAUUCAAACUCUUAAACUUGAGUAGUGGAGAGGAAAGUGGAAUUCUUAGUGUAGCGGUGAAAUGCGUAGAUAUUAAGAGGAACACCAGUGGCGAAGGCGACUUUCUGGACACUAACUGACGCUGAGGUACGAAAGCGUGGGAAGCAAACAGGAUUAGAUACCCUGGUAGUCCACGCCCGUAAACGAUGAGUGCUAGGUAUCGGAAGAAUUCGGUGCCGCAGUUAACGCAUGAAGCACUCCGCCUGGGGAGUACGUUCUUAAGAAUGAAACUCAAAGGAAUUGACGGGGACCCGCACAAGCAGCGGAGCAUGUGGUUUAAUUCGAUGCAACGCGAAGAACCUUACCAAGUCUUGACAUCUUAGGGACCGGUCGCGAAACCGACCUUUUUCUUCGGAAACUCUAAGACAGGUGGUGCAUGGUUGUCGUCAGCUCGUGUCGUGAGAUGUUGGCUUAAGUGCCGUAACGAGCGCAACCCCUAUUGUCAGUUGCCAGCAUUUAGUUGGGGACUCUGACGAGACUGCCGAUGACAAAUCGGAGGAAGGUGGGGACGACGUCAAAUCAUCAUGCCCUUCAUGACUUGGGCUACACACGUGCUACAAUGGACGGUACAACGGGUAGCGAGGGCGCGAGCCUUAGCAAAUCCUAAUAAGCCGUUCUCAGUUCGGAUUGUUCUCUGCAACUCGAGAGCAUGAAGCCGGAAUCGCUAGUAAUCGCGGAUCAGAAUGCCGCGGUGAAUACGUUCCCGGGUCUUGCACACACCGCCCGUCA